rnacentral:rRNA from 1 species
UACAGAGGGGGCAAGCGUUGUUCGGAAUUACUGGGCGUAAAGGGCGCGUAGGCGGCCUUCUAAGUCGAACGUGAAAUCCCUGGGCUCAACCCAGGAACUGCGUCCGAGACUGAAAGGCUUGAAUCCGGGAGAGGGAUGUGGAAUUCCAGGUGUAGCGGUGAAAUGCGUAGAUAUCUGGAGGAACACCGGUGGCGAAGGCGGCCUUCUGGACAGCAACUGACGCUGAGACGCGAAAGCGUGGGGAGCAAACAGG